AUGAGUAUGAGCUGUGGGAGAUAACCAAGAACUGACAACCACCUAAGAAGAGGUGGCGAUAAUGGCUCUCCAAGAGGAGGUUGUGAGUCUGAAGGCUUUUAUUCAACAAGGAGGCACUUAGAGGAAAUGCCUGGACCCUGAGAGGACUAAGACGAUAAUUGAGGCCACCCUGAAGCAGUUCCCAGGCCAGACACUCACUCCAGAUUGCUGGGCCAGGCAAUAAAUGCCAGUGACAGAACUGAGGUUCC